rnacentral:siRNA from 1 species
UUUUCUCAGGUAUCCCUCUAAC